UACGUAGGGUCCGAGCGUUGUCCGGAAUUACUGGGCGUAAAGAGCUCGUAGGUGGUUUGUCGCGUUGUCCGUGAAAACUCACAGCUUAACUGUGGGCGUGCGGGCGAUACGGGCAGACUGGAGUACUGCAGGGGAGACUGGAAUUCCUGGUGUAGCGGUGGAAUGCGCAGAUAUCGGGAGGAACACCGGUGGCGAAGGCGGCUCUCUGGGCCUGUCCUGACGCUCAGGCGCGAAAGCUAGGGAAGCAAACAGG
rnacentral:rRNA from 1 species